rnacentral:ncRNA from 1 species
ACAUUCCGACAGGGGAGCGCCACAGCGCUGAGAGUGCGACACCACACCGGUCACCGGUGUACAGGUCGCAGACCCUCUGAACCUCGCCCGGGUCAUUCCGGGUAGGGAGUUCGGUCACCACUCAUG